UGGGGAAUUUUGGACAAUGGGCGAAAGCCUGAUCCAGCAAUGCCGCGUGUGUGAAGAAGGCCUUCGGGUUGUAAAGCACUUUUGUCCGGAAAGAAAUGGCUCUGGUUAAUACCUGGGGUCGAUGACGGUACCGGAAGAAUAAGGACCGGCUAACUACGUGCCAGCAGCCGCGGUAAUACGUAGGGUCCAAGCGUUAAUCGGAAUUACUGGGCGUAAAGCGUGCGCAGGCGGUUGUGCAAGACCGAUGUGAAAUCCCCGAGCUUAACUUGGGAAUUGCAUUGGUGACUGCACGGCUAGAGUGUGUCAGAGGGGGGUAGAAUUCCACGUGUAGCAGUGAAAUGCGUAGAGAUGUGGAGGAAUACCGAUGGCGAAGGCAGCCCCCUGGGAUAACACUGACGCUCAUGCACGAAAGCGUGGGGAGCAAACAGGAUUAGAUACCCUGGUAGUCCACGCCCUAAACGAUGUCAACUAGUUGUUGGGGAUUCAUUUCCUUAGUAACGUAGCUAACGCGUGAAGUUUGACCGCCUGGGGAGUACGGUCGCAA
rnacentral:rRNA from 1 species